rnacentral:rRNA from 1 species
AACGCGAAGAACCUUACCUACCCUUGACAUGCCAGGAACCGCGGUGAGAGCCGCGGGUGCCCGAAAGGGAACCUGGACACAGGUGCUGCAUGGCUGUCGUCAGCUCGUGUCGUGAGAUGUUGGGUUAAGUCCCGCAACGAGCGCAACCCUUGUCACUAGUUGCUACGCAAGGGCACUCUAGUGAGACUGCCGGUGACAAACCGGAGGAAGGUGGGGAUGACGUCAAGUCCUCAUGGCCCUUAUGGGUAGGGCUUCACACGUCAUACAAUGGCGCAUACAGAGGGCUGCCAACCCGCGAGGGGGAGCCAAUCCCAGAAAGUGCGUCGUAGUCCGGAUUGUUCUCUGCAACUCGAGAGCAUGAAGUCGGAAUCGCUAGUAAUCGCGGAUCAGCAUGUCGCGGUGAAUACGUUCCCGGGUCUUGUACACACCG